AUUUUGUUCAGUUUCCCAAUCUCUCUGUCACGCGCCGUCCGAAUCCCGGACACAAAAUUUCCUCGUGGAACGUCCGCUUCAAUGGUGGUGAAAAAAUUACGGCGUUAACCGCGAAAGUGUGUCGAGUUAAUUUUCGGUACAUCUCUCCCGCGGCUCUCUCUCUCGCGUUAAAUGCACUGUUUUUUUCGCUCGGGGAUCGUUAGAGCUACGCGAGUAUAAUUUAAUAAUUAAGCAUACCGGAAACGCCUGCUCAUCGCGGUGCCGGGGGCUGGGAAAAACCGACGGUCGAGAAAACCGGGAGGCGAGAGAGAGAGAGAGAGAGAGAGAGAGAGAGAGGAGGCGGCGGUGUAAGAUGCCCUCGCAAAGAGUUAAAUACGCCCAAGCUCAUUUAUCGCGCGCGGAGCACAUCGCGCUAUUAGCGCGUCCUAACUGGAGAAGACUUCGCAGACGCGAUCCAAACGUCCUGGCGAAACCUUUUACAGUACGGCGGCGCGCGAUUCUGAGGAGCCGCGCCUCGAGGCGCAUCCGGGUUAUGGCGCAGCCGAAAUUCGUAACCAAGAAAUACGAUCCCGCAGCGGCGCCGCCCCUUUUCCCGCGCAUUCACCCGAAGACGCUCGCAGCGGAGAGCACGAAGCGUAUCGUCGAUCUGGCGUUGCCCAAGAGAAGACUUCUGAUGGAGACGAUGAAAUUGGCACCUACCAAAAACAUGAAGGCAUUCGUGGGCGAUCUGCUGGUGAAGGUUCGAAAGUCGCGGUACCAGCGGUAUCGUGUAUUCUCCAGCGCGCGUCAAGCGCGAGAAGCUAGGAAAAAGAGGAAGCUAAUGGCGAAACUACGCAGAGCUCUUACAAAACCAGAAGAUUGGCAAAGGCACAUGCGGGCCCUGGAGAUACUAGCUGCGCCCAAAGCAAGACCCAAAAGGAGGAAACCCAUUAAGAAGAGGAAGUGGAGGCCGGUCGAUAUGGAGCGAGUGUCCUUCUUGGCUUUACCACUGAUUCGACAUGAGCCCACGCCAAGAGAUCCAUUCCGGGUGUCUGAGCGCGCACUCGUCUAUCGUAUGAGCAAGAGAAUGGAGAGACUCACGUAUCUGACUAUACGUCCGGAGAUUGAAUACCGAAUACCAGGCCGCGUUUCGCCGGCCGCGACGAAGGCUAUAGCUUCCAAGAGAGUAAUCGCUUUGGCGAAGCCCGCUAAGCGUCCGACGGGUAGAGAAACGGAUCUCCGAGAGGAUGCCUUCACCGUGUCGCCGAUGGCGUUAAAGGCGAGAUGCUCCAAGCGUCUCAAAAACCUUGCCAAGCCGAAGAUCUAUCCGAAACCUGUAUUCAAGAGACUGAAAACUGCCCUCAAACGAUGAAGCAGCAAAUGGACGUUGGGGAGAGCUGGGAGAGUAUACUGUACUCUCGACAAAACCGGCCUUGUGUUAAUUCUCGGUCUUGUCUAGCGAAUACAUAAUACCUUCAUUAAAAAUUCAAGGUAUUUGUCGUAGUAUCUCUGUAUACACGCUACGUAAUUUCCCAAGUAACAGCAGAAUCACAUGAAUUACGUAAUAUUCCUGGGAAACGUAUGUAUAUACUGUAACUGUGUGUAAUAAACGGCAGCGUUUUGGAAAACAGAAAGUACGACGAUCAUUCA